rnacentral:rRNA from 1 species
UCGGGGUACUCGAGUGGCGAACGGGUGAGUAACACGUGGGUGAUCUGCCCUGCACUUUGGGAUAAGCCUGGGAAACUGGGUCUAAUACCGAAUAUGACCAUGCACUUCCUGGUGUGUGGUGGAAAGCUUUUGCGGUGUGGGAUGGGCCCGCGGCCUAUCAGCUUGUUGGUGGGGUAAUGGCCUACCAAGGCGACGACGGGUAGCCGGCCUGAGAGGGUGACCGGCCACACUGGGACUGAGAUACGGCCCAGACUCCUACGGGAGGCAGCAGUGGGGAAUAUUGCACAAUGGGCGCAAGCCUGAUGCAGCGACGCCGCGUGAGGGAUGACGGCCUUCGGGUUGUAAACCUCUUUCAGCACAGACGAAGCGCAAGUGACGGUAUGUGCAGAAGAAGGACCGGCCAACUACGUGCCAGCAGCCGCGGUAAUACGUAGGGUCCGAGCGUUGUCCGGAAUUACUGGGCGUAAAGAGCUCGUAGGUGGUUUGUCGCGUUGUUCGUGAAAACUCACAGCUUAACUGUGGGCGUGCGGGCGAUACGGGCAGACUUGAGUACUGCAGGGGAGACUGGAAUUCCUGGUGUAGCGGUGGAAUGCGCAGAUAUCAGGAGGAACACCGGUGGCGAANGCGGGUCUCUGGGCAGUAACUGACGCUGAGGAGCGAAAGCGUGGGGAGCGAACAGGAUUAGAUACCCUGGUAGUCCACGCCGU